rnacentral:rRNA from 1 species
CGGCGGACGGGUGAGUAACGCGUGGGUAACCUGCCUCAUACAGGGGGAUAACAGUUGGAAACGGCUGCUAAUACCGCGUAAGCGCACAGUACCGCAUGGUACCGUGUGAAAAACUCCGGUGGUAUGAGAUGGACCCGCGUCUGAUUAGCUAGUUGGUGGGGUAACGGCCUACCAAGGCGACGAUCAGUAGCCGACCUGAGAGGGUGACCGGCCACAUUGGGACUGAGACACGGCCCAA